AGAGUUUGAUCCUGGCUCAGGAUGAACGCUGGCGGCGUGCCUAACACAUGCAAGUCGAGCGAUUUACUUCGGUAAAGAGCGGCGGACGGGUGAGUAACGCGUGGGUAACCUGCCCUGUACACACGGAUAACAUACCGAAAGGUAUGCUAAUACGAGAUAAUAUGCUUUUAUCGCAUGGUAGAAGUAUCAAAGCUUUUGCGGUACAGGAUGGACCCGCGUCUGAUUAGCUAGUUGGUAAGGUAACGGCUUACCAAGGCGACGAUCAGUAGCCGACCUGAGAGGGUGAUCGGCCACAUUGGAACUGAGACACGGUCCAAACUCCUACGGGAGGCAGCAGUGGGGAAUAUUGCACAAUGGGCGAAAGCCUGAUGCAGCAACGCCGCGUGAGCGAUGAAGGCCUUCGGGUCGUAAAGCUCUGUCCUCAAGGAAGAUAAUGACGGUACUUGAGGAGGAAGCCCCGGCUAACUACGUGCCAGCAGCCGCGGUAAUACGUAGGGGGCUAGCGUUAUCCGGAAUUACUGGGCGUAAAGGGUGCGUAGGUGGUUUCUUAAGUCAGAGGUGAAAGGCUACGGCUCAACCGUAGUAAGCCUUUGAAACUGGGAAACUUGAGUGCAGGAGAGGAGAGUGGAAUUCCUAGUGUAGCGGUGAAAUGCGUAGAUAUUAGGAGGAACACCAGUUGCGAAGGCGGCUCUCUGGACUGUAACUGACACUGAGGCACGAAAGCGUGGGGAGCAAACAGGAUUAGAUACCCUGGUAGUCCACGCCGUAAACGAUGAGUACUAGCUGUCGGAGGUUACCCCCUUCGGUGGCGCAGCUAACGCAUUAAGUACUCCGCCUGGAAGUACGCUCGCAAGAGUGAAACUCAAAGGAAUUGACGG
rnacentral:rRNA from 1 species